rnacentral:lncRNA from 1 species
AAGCCUUCCAAUUUCACCUCUCAAAAAGAAAUAUUGGUAUCUUUGGCCAAAUAAUAAAGCAGAAUUGUACAAAAUAGAAUGAAACAAAUAACCCCCAAAAUUUUAAAGAAGUUUAUCAAAGCCAUUGAUUGUAGCAGAUAGUAAGAAAUUUUUAUAAAUAUCUAAUAGUUGUUGUAUGUAUUAGUUUAAAUUUCUAAAUUAACAAAGUAUUCAUGCAUAAGAUUUUCAACCUCCUCCUACGUUUGACAAAUUGUACUUCUCAUGAUUCUCUAGACUAUAAACAGUUAGAUUUACUACAUUUUUGGCUAAUGUUAUUGCUACUUCUUCUUCUUUAUGUAGUAUGGGCAAAGGGUUAUUAAAAAGCAUUGCAAUAUUGUGUAUCAUUGAUGUUCCAAUUACAAUUGAAUGGGCCUUCCGAAUAAAAGUGCCAUGUGAUUCGUUUUUAAGAAAUCGAACAAAAACUGUUAAAAUUAUAAUAAUGGUAAAUUUAUACAUUUUAAGGAUUAGUAAUUAAUUACUUC